rnacentral:rRNA from 1 species
CAGCCGCCGCGGGAAUACGAAGGGGGCUAGCGUUGCUCGGAAUGACUGGGCGUAAAGGGCGCGUAGGCGGAUCACGCAGUCAGAUGUGAAAUUCCUGGGCUUAACCUGAGGGCUGCAUUUGAGACGCGUGGUCUAGAGUGUGAAAGAGGGUCGUGGAAUUCCCAGUGUAGAGGUGAAAUUCGUAGAUAUUGGGAAGAACACCGGUGGCGAAGGCGGCGACCUGGUUCAUAACUGACGCUGAGGCGCGAAAGCGUGGGGAGCAAACAGGAUUAGAUACCCCUGUAGUCCCUGUCUCUUAUAC